CUGUGCCUUGGCCACUCUCGAUCUUGAGGGAACCGAGAUCGCAGAGUUUUUGGCUCAUUCCUGAGCAAGGAAGAUGCUUGUUACCUGCACCUCAGCAGGUACCAAGGGACACACAGAGAAGGUUGAACGUCUGAACGGGACGAUGAAGGUUCUCAAGGCAACAACCUUGGUGCUGCUCCUUGGUAUCUUCUCUUUCGGUAUUUACCACUUGGGCCAACUUGGCAAAGAAAGCCUCUGGAGCACCGCAGCACAGUUACAAGACCUGAGCAAAACCCUGUCCCUGCCAGACCAGCUCCAUAAGCUCCAGGAACAGCUUUACCAUCUGCGCUGGAGCACCAAGGAUGUUGCGGAGCAGGCUCUACAGGAAGGCGUGAAG